UUUUAAGAAGUGUGGGGCGGGGGAGGGCAGAGAAUAAAGGAAGAAAAGGCCCAGGUUUUCUCUUCCAAACUGUAUUUCUCAAACUCUAAGUCCCUGACGGCCUCGGCUGGGAGUGGACCGAGCACAGCCACAGCUUUGGCUGUGCUCGGUCUCCCCAACUUGAAGAUCCCCCCGCUCCCAGCUCCGCGCCAGAAACAAGGGGCGUGGGGGUGGGGGAAGCGGAAGGAGCACAGCGAAGAAAGGAGGCAGGCACUCUGGACGUCUAGGCCCCAGGGUCCUUGGCGGUGUGGUCCCCAAACCUCUGCCUCCUCCCACCAUGACAAUCCUACACUCAGAACUACUUACCAGGAGCUGGAACUCAGAAAGCCUGGGCAUGUUUGCCCACAGGGGUUGGAGGAAACGAUUAGACAUUUACUAUCGAGAGAGGAAAGUGAGUUAUGAUAAAGUCAGCCUUCCAUGUGGAUUGUCUUCAGUUCGCUCAAGAAUGACCAGAGUGACACCCCAUCACCUGUCUAUCCCCAGAUACCCAGGAAAGAUACUGGGAGGGGGCGUUGUCUCAUUACUUGCUUCCACUUCUGUGAACAGUGAUACACUACCUGGAAGCAAGGACCAUCUAGCCUUUGGCGUCAGUCGUGGCCAAGAGCAAAAGGAACCCCGAGUGCUGUAAAGCCGCCCCUAAUACAGAGGCUUCUGCGAUACUCCGUUUCAGGCUGGGCACUCAGGGAGACAAAUGGAAAGUGUGCACAAGGUGGCUCAGGAACGAGAAAACCAAGUGGACAGAAGGGAAAACGCAGGAAAACAUGAGGGAGGAAAGGGAAGCCUCACUCAGCUCACUGCAGUACACAGCAAUCGGCAGAAUGCCUUUCUUCCAGCAAGUCCAGAGGAUACUGGAACCUGCCUCUGGUUCUCAUCCCCCACCCCCAGCAGAAGCUGGCUCUCCUGUGAACACCUGGCCAGACUAUACAUCUUGGCCUUCCCCACCUACGAGGUGGCGAAGUCAGCUCUAUUCCAGUUUACCUGGGAGCUACACCUGGGAGCUCCCCCUCCCUGGUGAGAAAGGCAUUUGGAGAAACUACAGUCUGGGUAUUUGUAUUUGAACUCCACUAGCAAAGUAAUACUUUUUCCUAACCUAAUAUAUUUUAAAAAGUAAAACCCAAAGGAGGAAACAAA